UUGUAGUCCACACUGCAAACCAUGACACCCAUGAAUUGGGGAACAUCAUUGGGUGCCCGUGUGGCGGCCUUUUGUGCCGACCCUCGGCCCCAAUUUAUUUAUCAAUUUACGUGCCUAUUCUAUCACCCCCGGUUCCCUCUUUUGAGGUUCUUCCGGGGUUUUUUACGGGAAUAUCCUCAGCACGUUUCUUACUUCUUCACGCGAAAGCUUGGAGGUUACAGUCUCAGGGGGGAG
rnacentral:rRNA from 1 species